rnacentral:rRNA from 1 species
UACGGAGGGUGCGAGCGUUGUCCGGAAUCACUGGGCGUAAAGGGCGCGUAGGUGGCCCGAUGAGUCAACGGUGAAAGCUCGGCGCUCAACGCCGAGUCGGCCGUCGAUACUGUCGGGCUGGAGCACUGUAGAGGCAGAUGGAAUUCCGGGUGUAGCGGUGGAAUGCGUAGAGAUCCGGAAGAACACCGGUGGCGAAGGCGGUCUGCUGGGCAGUUGCUGACACUGAGGCGCGACAGCGUGGGGAGCAAACAGG